UACAGAGGUCUCAAGCGUUGUUCGGAUUCAUUGGGCGUAAAGGGUGCGUAGGCGGCGCGGUAAGUCGGGUAUGAAAUCUUGGAGCUUAACUCCGAAACUGCAUUCGAUACUGGCGUGCUUGAGGACUGGAGAGGAGACUGGAAUUCAUGGUGUAGCAGUGAAAUGCGUAGAGAUCAUGAGGAAGACCAGUGGCGAAGGCGGGUCUCUGGACAGUUCCUGACACUGAGGCACGAAGGCCAGGGGAGCAAACGGG
rnacentral:rRNA from 1 species